GGACUACAAUUGUCAGCUUUAUAUUACCUGGAUAUGGAAGGAAACUAUUUUUACUCUGCAGGUACUCUCCUAAGCGUCAUCUUGAGCCUUGCACAGGAUAUUCAGAUUCCUCACCCUUGCUUAGGAGUAAAACAUAAUAUACUUUUAUGGGGUGAUAAUAUCUCCAUAGUUAUUUGAAGUGGCUUGAACAAAAGCAAGUCUGACUCUUGGACAUUGGAUAAAAUCUACAAGUCAGCCCUAGAGUUUUUCAAUAUUUGACAAAACAUAUUUUCCUUGAGAGGAAGAUGGAAGGAGUGGAGUGUGGUUUGCAAAACAACUGCAUUUCACAGCUUUUCCAGUUAAAUUGGAGCACUAAACAUUUAGAGGCGUACCAAACUAUGCAUGGGUCCUUAGUCACACAUGGAAGGCUGGCCAUCAGCUUUGACACAAGCACUGUUCAGCUGGUCAAAUGACUGUGAUUAAAAACACAUGUAAAUUGCUUUUUAACAGCUGAUAACUGUGUAAGACAAAGCCAAAAUGCAAAUUAGGCUUUGAUUGGCACUGUUUGAAAAAUAUGCAACAUAAUGGGAAAUAAUCUGGAUAGGCCACUUCUGUACUUAAUGUGAAGUAUUUAGAUAACUUUUGGACACUUCUUAACAGUUUCUUUGGGACAAUGACUUUUAUAAAGUUUGGUACCAAAUAUCAUUCCUUAUGACAUGUACAUUGUCAUCACUAAUCCUUGGAUUUUGUUGUAUUGUCACCUAAAUUGGUACAGAUAUUGAUGAAAUUCUCUAAUGGAUAAUUAUAACACUCUUGGCCACAUGUUUUUCCUGCAGCUUAAGUUCUUUAAAAAGAUAUCAAAUGCCUGCUGCUACCACCCUUUUAAAUUGCUAUCUUUUGAGAAGUACCACUAUCCGUUUUAGAUUGAUUUCCCUGCUUUAGGGAAAUGAGUCAGUAGCUUCAGUUCUGAUGGUAUUAGCAAAACAAAUAAAAUGUGUAUAAAAUUUGUAUCUUGAAACACAUGUUCAACAGCUAGCAGCUUAUGUAGUUUCACCCCUGUGCGUUGUUAGUGUCACAAAUUUCAUGGUUGUCUCCAGCAGCUGUUUCUGUAGUAUUUGCAGUUAUCAUUUGUCUAAUUCAACCCUAAUUGAAUUCUCCUUUUCUCAUGGAGGCAUUUAUGUUCAAAGUGGUGAUUUCUUCCCCUAGAUGCAUAGGGAGAGUCUCAAGUUUGGAGAUGGAUGGUUUAGUAGUGACUUAGCCAUAUGUACUAUAUUGG
rnacentral:lncRNA from 1 species